GCAAAAUAAUGCCCUCUGCCCGAGAUGUCCAUUCCCAAUCCUCAGAACCUGGGAAUGCAUUACCUUACAUAGCAAAGGCAAUUUACAGAGGUACGGUGCCCCACCCAGAUCCUGUCUUAAGGGCUGGAGCACUCAUUUCCCAGCUGCUGGAAUAUUAGCUGCUAUUGGCUCACAGUUGCAUCCCCCACUGGGAAUUCCCUCCACUCACAGGGAACUGUCUCGCCCACGGUUACUCCUCCUUCUGGGGGCAGCCAAGGACCCAUGACUGCCUAAUGUGGUAACAUGAAGCCCUGACCCCUGGCCUGGAUUUGGGAUAAGUCUGAAAGGCCAUCCCAGCUCCCCGUAAAACUGAAGAGCAAUCCCCAACCAGCCUUCUGCACCCAACUCUCCAUCUCAGAGCCUGUUUCCUGGGAACCCAGGACAGGCGGAGCAUUUUUACUUAUUGAUGUGCAAUGAAAAGAGUCUUGGAUGCAGUGACAGUGACUGAACAAUUCUGCAAGGUUGAAGGCUAAGAAUAAGGCUUCUGUUACCAAAUAGAGGGAUGAAGAGAAGAAAUUUAGCAAGAACAAAGUUUGGAAAGAACGGCAUUUCCCAAAUUUAUUUCCUGGGAACUAUGUAUGCCUUUGGAAUGCUUCAUGGCCUGAGAAAUGUUCCCGCACAGAAUCAUGUGUAUAACCAAGGUAGAUUUGGUCUUGAAAAUGCCUAUUUCAUUUCACCAACAGCCAAAGUGAGGCAUUUAUAAUGCCCAUUCAAAGCAAGAAAUAAUUCAUUAAAAGUCAAGUACCUAAAUACCACCCUUCACUCUGCAAGUUGCUUAACUUUUUAGAUGAUGGCUCCACUCUGCUUUCAUAUUUUUUGAAAGAAGAAACUCAAGACAUCUCAGAUGUUUCUCUUUAAUAUAAGGAAAUUGAAGGUCAGACAAUCAAGAGCAGAGUCCGUAUUCUUUCUG
rnacentral:lncRNA from 1 species